AGUACUCACAGACCUGGCUAACUGCAUACAAAGAAAGGGCCAGGGCCCACCUCACCAUGGCAGAGGUGUGCUCUGGGCGGUGGCAGCACCAGGUGGGACAGAGGGCACAGAGAAAGCUCUCAAUACUCAUGGCCACCAGGAGACAGAGACCCACUGUGUCGGAAAAUUGGAGACAGGAUCCAGAAACACAGCCACCUGCAAUGCCACCUGGUGAUACAGCAUGAAGAUUUUCUCCAGCAGGAUCACAGUUACACAGGAGAGGUUGACCAUAUCAACAGUGGCCAGGUUAAGGAUGUAGGUCACAUAGGGGCUGCUCCAGACCUGUGGAGAGCUAACAGAAGUGGAGAGACAAAGACCUGUCCACGAGAAGUCUCAUGCCCCUUCCUUCACUCUGACACCUCCUUAACAUGCUCCUGAAAUGUCAGCAUCAUGAGACAUGAGCUACACAAUGAUGCAGUAUGGGAAUUAAGAGAAGCUGGAAUUGUGGAGCAGACUUCGCAAGGCUUCUCUGACCUCUGCCUCCAGCUCUGGGAUCUGUGAAACACACUGGGCUCUUCUUCUAGACCUCCCUUUUUGAAGCUCCUCCAAAGACCAUUUCAUCAUCUCUACUCAACAGUCUCCUCAGGAAAUUGCCUCUUCAGUAGGCAAAUGUCACUUGCCACAAACUUAUCUUUGGCAUGAGGAUAAGACAGUGCUAAGGUAGAACUGUCUGUACCUUCUUUGGGUUUACAUUGUGAUAACUGCAAGGAGAAAAAUAAAUUGGGCUGAGUGGAUAGAAAAUGAUAAGGGUAAUGGAUGUUUCCUAGUGGGAUAAAUGAGGGGAGUUUCUUAGUAGGACAUGGAGAUCUGAAUGACCUACUGGAGCAACCAGGUGACAGCCAGAAGGAAAGAGCCACAGGCAGGCUCAGCAAGUUCACCAACCUGGGGCAAGUGGCUUCAUCUGCUUUGUUAAUCUUUGAUGCUCCUGUCCAGAGAGGGCCUCUUAAGCAACUUGAGUGCAAUAACUAUUUUUCUAUUAUUGUGUUAGUAAACCCCAAGAAGGUCCCUGCAACUCUAGAGAGUUAAAGACUUAUAAGCCAUUUUCAAGACUGGAGAAUAUUCUUAUCUCAGCCAUCAGUGGACAGAAAGGGGCAGCCAGGCCCCUUCAGAGCAGCACUGAGCUACUGUCCCUGGAGUGGUGGGGCCUGACCACAGCUUCCUCUUUCAACCAUGGAAUCCUUAUCACUAUUUUGCAAACACCAAAGAUGUAGCCUCAGAUGUGAAUCUACUCACAUGCUGGAAGUUUGUCCAUGAUGUUGAGAGCUCGUUUAAGUGGAAGAUCCUGGAUGAGUGCAGAUACAGACUGUGAGCAGGAGAGCCCUUCUCUGUCUCUUUUCAAGACUCUGAGACAGAGGCCAAGAGCCUAGCAUGCAAAACACCUCAGACAAUGCAUCCAGGAUAGGGGAGAACUGAUAUGAACCAUUCACCCUUAGCCAAAAACCUGCUCACCUUGGGCAGGUGUGGUACCUCAAGGCUGACCACAGACUAGAGGAGAUCUCAUGUGUCUUCCUUAGAGAGAUUCCUGUCCACCUUCCUGUCUCAGGAAGAUGGAUGGAAUCAUUUCAUUGGAGGAUGCCAACAUCCCCUGUCCAGGGCCCACUGCCUGAGCCUUGGACAUUUCUGCUGAGCUGGCUAGGCCUCUGAGAAUCAGCCCUGAUGACCCCUGAUGCCCCACUAUGGAGUCCAGAACACUGAAGAACUUAGGAUGCUUGAGAGGUGAAACGCUCUGGGCCCAAAGAGAUCAGACCAUCCUUUCCUGAGAUCCUGAACACUGAUAAUGACUUCUCAUACUUUAAGACAGCUUCAUAGAUGACGUUGCCAGAGAAGCUGAGCUCACUAAAGCAGGAUGUAUCUGUAACAAGAAAAAAAUCCUUAAAUGAGUUGCUAUAGCUGAUCCAUGGGAAUGCCCAAAAAGAUGUUACAGAUUUCACUAGGGCUUAAUCUUAGUCCUGCAGCACCAAGGACACACUUCCUCCUACUAACCUGGGAAGAGCCAGUUCAGGGGAGAACGGGAGGGAAUAACCCAAAUGUCCAUUAACAGAGAGUGCCAACAGCUUCCAAAAUGUGUCUCCAGUCAAGGACAGGCCAAGAUGACUCAUCAAAGAAAUGCAAAUCAAAACCACAACUAGAUAGCACCUUACGCCUGUUAGGAUGGCCAUUCUGAAAAAACAAAAGAUAACAAGUGCUAACGAGGAUGUGAAGAAAGGGAUCCCUCACACACUGUUGGUGAAAAUGCAAAAUGGCGCAGCUGCUGUGAAAAGCAGUAUGGAAAUUCCUCAAAAAAUUAACAGUAGAACUGCACCAUAUGGUCCAGAAAUCCCACUUCUGAGUAUUUGUCCAAAAGAAUUGAAAUCAGGUUUUCAAAGAAAUAUUAGCACUCUUAUGUUUGCUGCAAUACUAUUCACAAUAGCCAAAAUGUGGAAACAACCUAAAAAUCCAUCAAAAAAUGAAUGGAUAAAGAAAAUGUGAUAUAAACAUAAGAUAGAAUAGUAUUCAGCCUUUAAAAAGGAAGAAAUUUGGCCAGGUGUGGUGGCUCACGCCUAUAAUCCCAGCCCUUUGGGAGGCCAAGGUGAAUGGAUCACGAGGUCAGGAGUUCAAGAGCAACUUGACCAACAUGGUGAAACCCCGUCUCUACUAAAAAUACAAAAAUUAGCUGGGCAUGGUGGCAGGUGCCUGUAAUCCCAGCUACUUGGGAGGCUGAAGCAGAGAAUUGCAUGAACCUGGGAAGCGGAGGUUGUAGUGAGCCGAGAUUACACCACUGCACUCCAGCCUGGGCAGGGGAGGGAGACUCCAUCUC